rnacentral:rRNA from 1 species
UCAAGCGAAUAAGCGCACACGGUGGAUGCCUUGGCAGUCAGAGGCGAUGAAGGACGUGACAGCCUGCGAAAAGUAUCGGGGAGCUGGCAAUAAGCUUUGAUCCGGUAAUGUCCGAAUGGGGAAACCCACCCGCAAGGGUAUUGCAUGGUGAAUACAUAGCCAUGCAAAGCGAACGCGGUGAACUGAAAUAUCUAAGUAACCGUAGGAAAAGAAAUCAACCGAGAUUCCGUCAGUAGCGACGAGCGAACGCGGACAAGCCCAAAAGUCGAUCUUGUUUUAGCAAAACACUCUGGAAAGGGUGGCCAUAGCGGGUGACAGCCCCGUAUGCGAAAGGGCCUGAUCGAUGAAAUUGAGUAGGGCGGGGCACGUGAAACCCUGUCUGAACAUGGGGGGACCAUCCUCCAAGGCUAAAUACUCCUGACUGACCGAUAGUGAACCAGUACCGUGAGGGAAAGGCGAAAAGAACCCUGGUGAAGGGAGUGAAAUAGACCCUGAAACCGUGUGCGUACAAGCAGUCGGAGCCCUUCGGGGUGACGGCGUACCUUUUGUAUAAUGGGUCAGCGACUUACUGUUCGUGGCGAGCUUAACCGUAUAGGGGAGGCGAAGGGAAACCGAGUCUGAUAAGGGCGCAUAGUCGCGGGCAGUAGACCCGAAACCGGGUGAUCUAGUCAUGCCCAGGGUGAAGGUACCGUAACAGGUACUGGAGGCCCGAACCCACGCCCGUUGCAAAGGUCGGGGAUGAGGUGUGAUUAGGAGUGAAAAGCUAAUCGAACCCGGAGAUAGCUGGUUCUCCUCGAAAGCUAUUUAGGUAGCGCCUCAUAUGAAUCCUCUCGGGGGUAGAGCACUGUUAUGGCUAGGGGGUCAUCGCGACUUACCAAACCAUUGCAAACUCCGAAUACCGAGACGGACUGUAUGGGAGACACACGGCGGGUGCUAACGUUCGUCGUGAAAAGGGAAACAACCCAGACCCACAGCUAAGGUCCCAAAUUACUGCUAAGUGGAAAACGAUGUGGAAAGGCAUAGACAGCCAGGAGGUUGGCUUAGAAGCAGCCACCCUUUAAAGAAAGCGUAAUAGCUCACUGGUCGAGUCGGUCUGCGCGGAAGAUUUAACGGGGCUAAGCAGUAAACCGAAGCUUGGGGUGUGCAUCUUUGAUGUACGCGGUAGAGGAGCGUUCCGUAGGCCUGUGAAGGUGGAUUGAGAAGUCUGCUGGAGGUAUCGGAAGUGCGAAUGCUGACAUGAGUAACGAUAAUGCGGGUGAAAAGCCCGCACGCCGAAAGCCCAAGGUUUCCUUGCGCAACGUUAAUCGACGCAGGGUGAGUCGGCCCCUAAGGCGAGGCAGAAAUGCGUAGUCGAUGGGAAGCAGGUUAAUAUUCCUGCACCUCGCGUAAGUGCGAUGGAGGGACGGAGAAGGUUAGGCAGGCCGGGCGUUGGUUGUCCCGGUGAGAGAGUUGAGGCGGUGCCCUUAGGUAAAUCCGGGGGCGCAACGUUGAGACUAAGGACGAGCCCAAUAGGGUUGAGCUGCUGAUAUCACGCUUCCAGGAAAAGCUCCUAAGCUUCAGCUUACGCAGACCGUACCGUAAACCGACACAGGUGGGUAGGAUGAGAAUUCUCAGGCGCUUGAGAGAACUCGGGUGAAGGAACUAGGCAAAAUAGCACCGUAACUUCGGGAGAAGGUGCGCCAACCAUGGUGAAUAGCUAAGGUUGGCCGAAGUAACCAGGCCGCUGCGACUGUUUAUCAAAAACACAGCACUCUGCAAACACGAAAGUGGACGUAUAGGGUGUGACGCCUGCCCGGUGCUGGAAGAUUAAUUGAUGGGGUGCAAGCUCUUGAUCGAAGUCCCAGUAAACGGCGGCCGUAACUAUAACGGUCCUAAGGUAGCGAAAUUCCUUGUCGGGUAAGUUCCGACCUGCACGA